rnacentral:rRNA from 1 species
UACGUAGGUGGCGAGCGUUGUCCGGAAUUACUGGGCGUAAAGGGCGCGUAGGCGGCCAAUUAAGUCAGAUGUGAAACCCCUAGGCUCAACUUAGGGCUUGCAUUUGAAACUGACUGGCUUGAGUGUCGGAGAGGGAAGCGGAAUUCCUAGUGUAGCGGUGAAAUGCGUAGAUAUUAGGAGGAACACCAGUGGCGAAGGCGGCUUUCUGGACGAUAACUGACGCUGAGGCGCGAAAGCGUGGGGAGCAAACAGGAUUAGAUACC